rnacentral:rRNA from 1 species
CGCGUAGGUGGUUGAAUAAGUUGGAUGUGAAAUCCCCGGGCUUAACCUGGGUUGGUCAUUCAAAACUGUUCGACUAGAGUAUGGUAGAGGGUAGUGGAAUUUCUAGUGUAGCGGUGAAAUGCGUAGAUAUUAGAAGGAACAUCAGUGGCGAAGGCGACUGCCUGGACUGAUACUGACACUGAGGUGCGAAAGCGUGGGUAGCGAACA